CAAUAGCGUAUAUUAAAGCUGUUGCGGUUAAAAAGCUCGUAGUUGGAUUUCUGUCAAGGACAACUGGUCCGCCCUCCGGGUGAGCACAUAGUUUGGUCUUGACAUCUUGCUGGAAGCUGUUGCUGCACUUGGCUGUGUGGCGCAGUGUUCAGCACUUUCACUUUGAGGAAAUUGGAGUGUUUCAAGCAGGCACAUGCCUUUGGACACAGUAGCAUGGAAUAAUUAGAUUGGGCUUUUGCUCCAAUUUGUCGGUUUCUGGAGCUGAGGUGAGUAUUAAUGGGGAUUGUUGGGGGCAUCCGAAUUUAGCCGUCAGAGGUGAAAUUCUUGGAUCUGCUAAAGACGGACAACUGCGAAAGCAUUUGCCAAGGAUGUUUUCAUUGA
rnacentral:rRNA from 1 species